CUGUGGCAUUUAUCUCCUUUUUGUUGUGUUAACUUGCUGUAUUACUUGCUGGUUUGGAAAUGCCACUGAGUCACAGAAAAAGACAAUCAG